rnacentral:rRNA from 1 species
GACGAACGCUGGCGGCGUGCUUAACACAUGCAAGUCGAACGGAAAGGCCCUGCUUUUGUGGGGUGCUCGAGUGGCGAACGGGUGAGUAACACGUGAGUAACCUGCCCUUGACUUUGGGAUAACUUCAGGAAACUGGGGCUAAUACCGGAUAGGAUCUCCUGCUGCAUGGUGGGGGUGGGAAAGAUUCGGCGGUUGGGGAUGGACUCGCGGCUUAUCAGCUUGGUGGUGGGGUAGUGGCUUACCAAGGCUUUGACGGGUAGCCGGCCUGAGCGGGUGAGCGGACAAGUUGGGACGGAGAUGAGGCCCAGCCUCGAACGGGAGGGAGGGGUGGGGUGGGUAGCCCAGUGGGCGGGAGCAUGGUGCGGCGCCGCCGCGUGGGGGGUGAGGGGCUGGGGGUAGGAAAGCGAUUUCGUCUGUGACGAGGCGUUAGUGACGGUAAUGGGUAAAGAAGCCCCGGCUAACUACGUG